rnacentral:rRNA from 1 species
GGGAAAUUGCGUAGGGUCUACACAUGCAGUCGAGCGGUAGCACAGGAGAGCUUGCUCUCCGGGUGACGAGCGGCGGACGGGUGAGUAAUGUCUGGGAAACUGCCUGAUGGAGGGGGAUAACUACUGGAAACGGUAGCUAAUACCGCAUAACGUCUACGGACCAAAGUGGGGGACCUUCGGGCCUCACGCCAUCAGAUGUGCCCAGAUGGGAUUAGCUAGUAGGUGGGGUAAUGGCUCACCUAGGCGACGAUCCCUAGCUGGUCUGAGAGGAUGACCAGCCACACUGGAACUGAGACACGGUCCAGACUCCUACGGGAGGCAGCAGUGGGGAAUAUUGCACAAUGGGCGCAAGCCUGAUGCAGCCAUGCCGCGUGUGUGAAGAAGGCCUUAGGGUUGUAAAGCACUUUCAGCGAGGAGGAAGGGUAGUGUGUUAAUAGCACAUUGCAUUGACGUUACUCGCAGAAGAAGCACCGGCUAACUCCGUGCCAGCAGCCGCGGUAAUACGGAGGGUGCAAGCGUUAAUCGGAAUUACUGGGCGUAAAGCGCACGCAGGCGGUUUGUUAAGUCAGAUGUGAAAUCCCCGCGCUUAACGUGGGAACUGCAUUUGAAACUGGCAAGCUAGAGUCUUGUAGAGGGGGGUAGAAUUCCAGGUGUAGCGGUGAAAUGCGUAGAGAUCUGGAGGAAUACCGGUGGCGAAGGCGGCCCCCUGGACAAAGACUGACGCUCAGGUGCGAAAGCGUGGGGAGCAAACAGGAUUAGAUACCCUGGUAGUCCACGCUGUAAACGAUGUCGAUUUGGGAGGUUGUGCCCUUGAGGCGUGGCUUCCGGAGCUAACGCGUUAAAUCGACCGCCUGGGGAGUACGGGCCGCAAGGUUAAAACUCAAAUGAAUUGACGGGGGCCCGCACAAGCGGUGGAGCAUGUGGUUUAAUUCGAUGCAACGCGAAGAAUCUUACCUACUCUUGACAUCCAGAGAAUUCGCUAGAGAUAGCUUAGUGCCUUCGGGAACUCUGAGACAGGUGCUGCAUGACUGUCGUCAGCUCGUGUUGUGAAAUGUUGGGUUAAGUCCCGCAACGAGCGCAACCCUUAUCCU